rnacentral:rRNA from 1 species
AACGAACGCUGGCGGCGUGCCUAACACAUGCAAGUCGAACGAGAAAGCACCUUCGGGUGUGAGUAAAGUGGCGCACGGGUGAGGAAUACGUAGGUAAUCUACCCCUGGGUCCGGGAUAACACUCCGAAAGGAGUGCUAAUACCGGGUAAGACCACGCCCCUCUCGGGGGGUGGGGUAAAAGGUGGCCUCUCCAUGGAAGCUAUCGCCUGAGGAUGCGCCUGCGUCCCAUCAGCUAGUUGGUAGGGUAACGGCCUACCAAGGCUAAGACGGGUAGCUGGGAUGAGAGGAUUGUCAGCCAAACUGGAGCGGAGACACGUGACAGACUCCUACGGGAGGCAGGAGUGGGGAAUGUUGCGCAAUGGGCGAAAGCCUGACGCAGCGACGCCGCGUGAGCGAUGAAGGCCUUCGGGUCGUAAAGCUCUGUGGGAGGGGGAAGAAUGAGUUCGGGGAACAAUACCCUCGGACUGUGACGGUACCCCUUCAGAAAGCACCGGCAAACUCCGUGCCAGCCGCCGCGGUAAUAC